CCAUAUAUUUUUUUAUGUGAGUCUAAAUAACUUUAAAUGUGCAUAUGUACAAUAGUUUAGUUUAGUUCUGGUUUAAAUGGCAGAAGUUUAAUAUUCGAUGGAAUUUUGUUUAUAUUUUUUUUUAUUUAUUGUAAUAAGAGGAAAAAACUUCGAACCCAAAAACGUCUAGUUUUUCAGGCCAAUUUCAACUCGGCUUUAUAGCUAAACUAAAGCUGCAAUUAGUGGUGGCGUGCGGUAGCUAUGGCCGCAACCGCAGCAAUCAGCUGUUCUGAUCAAACAGAUGAGCAUCACUAUAAACGAUUCUAGGCGCCGCACCAUAACGCCGUAACCAUAACGGUAGCCGUAUGUUUCUAUUGAAGUUUGGUUUUUCCCCGUAACCGCAAGCAGCUGUGAAAUAUUUUGACAUUUAUUUAAAUAUUUGCAAUAAAAAUCGGAAUGCUAGAAUUGAACGACAAAAAAUUAAUUGACUUAGUGGAAAAUUAUCCCUGUUUUUAUGACAAAAGGCAAAUGUUGUCAUUACUUCUACUUUAAUAUCAGCCACUUAUGGUUUCGGCAUGAUUAAUCGGCAAAUGCUGUAAUGUUGCGAAUAUGGCUAUGGUUACGGCUAUGGCGUUAUUGCUAUGGCGCCACUAAUUGCAGUCGUUUUCUCAAUUAAUCUCUAACUUUUUGCAGGCCACCUUACGACCUCGUAAGGGUAAACUCAAAUUGUUACUCAAUUUGAAUUCAAAUUGUAAUUAAGAAAAAAAAAUUACUGGUUUGCUACCAUAGUUUGCUUGCUAAGAAAGCGAAAAAAUAGCCAAAGCGCACUUUACAGUAAGAAAAGAAGCCUGGGUGAAGCCUGGUCUAUUGGCAAGAGGAGAACACGACGCUUCAAAUAACACUGAAAAACUGGCACUAAGAUCUUGAAUACAAAAAUAUCAGUGCAGGGAUACAAAUUUCAUACAAUUUUCACACAAGUUUCAUCCACAACUUCAAGACGCUUUUUACUCAAUUUUAAGGGGUUAUAUACCUUGUGGGCCCGAAAAAAUGGACGAUUGCCAUAAUUUUGUUUAAAUAUGUUUUAGAACUUUUAUUCAAAUGAGGCCUAUAUAUCAUACUGAAGGGUAAUAUCGAAGAAUACAUUUUGGUGUAUUUAUUUUAAAAAAUGUGAUUAUUUAUUGUUGAUAUCGUCCUUCCCCCGAAACGCCGUUUCUUAGAAGAGGCUUGCGUUGAUCACGGUAGCGCAUGAGCAGCUCAACUGAAAUCAAAAAAUUAAAUGAUUAUUGUAGAAAAAUGUUUUUAGUGAAUCUGAACGGUUUAUUUACCCAAAAAAAGUUUUCUUGAUAUGAAAACCGUUUUGCACCAAAAAAACGAUUUUUGAGGGGUUGAAAAAUUGAAAAAAAAAAAAAUUAAUUCCAGCGAACUAUGCAAAUAUUUAUAAAAAGUGAACCCUGUGAAGUUGUAACUUCGAAUAAUUAAAAAAAAAGUUUAUGCAAAUCGAUCAAAUAGUUGUUGAUAAAUGAAACACGACUUCGAGAUAAUCGCAUCUAAAGUUUUGCGUGCACUUCAUUUAUGGAUAAGGUCGCGCGCUUCCACGGUCUGUAACUUUCGUUCUAGUGCUCCGAUCUUUAUGAUUUUUUGAAUUUAUAUUUUUAAGAUGAUGUACUUUUAGAAUAUGCCAUAAAAAAUUUGUCGAUUUUUUAGUCCAACACAAGGUAUAUAACCUCUUAAGAAUACUUGAUACUUUCUUCAAGGCUGGAAUGUAAUUGCAUCGCUGCUUCCUUAAACUAAACAAAAAAAAGUAUAGAAAAAAAACUGAAUGAUUAAUAUUUUUAAAUUGCAUUAAAACCAAUGCAGCGCUUUGUCAAUUUAUGUUUAAAACAUUUUUUUUUAAUACACGUUUUUUUAAAACAACUGCCGUCUUCCCAAAUUAAUUGUAUUUUUUUGUUUUUAAUUAAUUAAAUUUAUUUCUGCUCUUCCCUGACAGAAUUUGUGUUUUAUAAUUAAUGACUUGAACUUUAUUUGGAAAAUUAUGUAGUUAAUUAUUUCAGUAGAAUUGUUUUUGUAUACCUUCAGAUUAUAAAUUAAUUAAAAAAUAAUAAAAAUAAUAAUGCGAAAAAAAUUAACAGCGUUAAAUAAAAAAAAAAUUAAAACUUAAACCCACUGCGCAGCGCUACAGAAAUAUGCACGCAUUUUAAUUUGUAUGAUUUUCCAUAAGCUUUAAAACAAAAUAUGUGUACAUAUUUUUAUAAAAAAGUUUCAAACCAAUGCAACAUAAUUUUCUCUAAUUAUUUUGAUAAUUUUUUUUUCUUUUCUUGAAUUAUUCUGCCUUCUAAUAUUUUUAAAUUUAUAAGAAUAUUUUCUGUAAAUUAAUCAAGUGGAAAACCAGUGCUUCCCCCGGUUUGAUUUUGCUCCCUGUUUUACAUUAUUUUUUUGUUCUAAUAUUUUGCACAUUUUUAUUGCCUUUUUGUUGUUGUUUUUGUUAAACCACCACCACCAACACGCUUACACUAAGUAACUAAAUUUUAUUUCAAUUUUAAAUAAGACUAAAUUCUAAGGAAUCCGUAGCAGCUUUAGCAAUAACUAAAUGCAUUUUUAAUACAGGGUGCGAUAAAACGAGGUCCAAAAGGGGUGGGCAGGCAGGCAGACAAGGAAGUGAAGCAAUGCGCUUUGAAGUAUAUUGUAAUAUUUUUUUUUUUUUUGUUUUUUUUUCCUGGUUAGCAUUACAAAAAUUACAACUUCGAAAUGUUAGCCUUUAAACGUGCGAUUUUCCUACGAACAGCAACUUGGGUGCAGAAGCAAAUUACGUUUGAGAAAUGAAUGCUGUAAGAAUAGAUUAGGAAAACAUUUGUAAAUGUUUUAAAUUUGCAAAAUUGUAAAAUUGGGCGCUCAAUGGUUGCAUAGUCUGCGUGCACUUAUAUUGCAGCUUGAACUCACCGCAAUGGCCUAAGUCGCAGUAAUGGCUGAAAGUCAAAGUAUUCAUGAUGACAUCCUCUUCUCACUAAAGAGGGUCGCUCUUAUGUCUACAGCAGCCAGGAUUUCUAAUAUUGUUUGAUAUGAAAUUCUGAGUGUCAUAAGAACAAUGUCAUAAAGUGCAUUUAUUUAAAUAUUUCCCAAUAGUAUCUACGCAAAACUCCCUGCUAGGCGUUCGCGCGUUGCCGCUGUCAGUGAUAUAGUUGAAUAAAGGUUAGAAAUAUAGCUGAAUCAGGCUACGAAAUCUUCUGGCUGAAUGAAGCUGAAUAUAAGCUAAAUAAAACUAAGAAACCUUGCAGCUGAUGAAAAGUAAGAAAUCUCAAAACUGAUUGAAGCUUUGAGAUGCACAGCUGAAUAAAACUAAGAAAUCUUAAAGCUGAAUUAAGCUGAGAAAGUUAAUUGAAGCUGAGAAAUAAAGAGCUGAAUAAAGACAAGGUAUCUUGAAGCUAAACAAAACUAAGAAAUCUUAUAGCUGAUGAAAAGUAAGAAAUCUUACAGCUGAAUAUAGGUAAAGCAUUUUAAAGCUGAAUAUAACUGAGAAAUAUACGGCUGAAGUAAGCCAAGAAACCUUGUAGCUGUCUGAAGCUUAGAAAUAUACAGCUGAAUGAUGCUAAGACAACUUAAAUAUGAAUAAAACAAAACAAUUUUAAAGAUGAAUAAAACUGAGAAGUCUAUAGCUGAAUAAAGCACAGAGAUCCGAAAACCAACUGAAUGAAGCUAAGGCAUCUUAAAUCUGAAUGAAUACAAGAAGUCUACAAGUCGACAGCUGAAUGAAGCAUAGAAAUCUUAAGGCCCCUUUCUGGUCUAGAGACGUGAAAAUUGAAGGCGUUGAAAAUUGGAGAAAAACAAUCGGUAUCAAUUGAAAAUCGUUUUUUUUCAUUAGACCAAUUCUUUAUUUACAAAAAAAAAUACUUUUUUCUCAAUGACAAUAAUAAAAAAAUUGCUUUCCCUGACGUAACACAUGCCACUGGCGUAACUGAUUGGGCUGCUCAGAUACGUCUGAAAAAAAAAUUCGGUCGAUUAUUCAUCAGGAAAUAUGUCGCUAUGGUGGGUAGCAGAAUUACAAAAAAAAAAUUUCCCAGAUAUUUUAUCGAUGUAUUGGAAAAACAAAAAAAAGGAUUUUUUUCACGUUCUCGCUCUUGAAAAAAAAAUAUAAAAAAAAAGUGAUUAUAUUGCUGUACAACUAAUUAAUUUCGUAUUUUUCUGUUAAACCCCCCAUUUAUUUAAGUAUAAAAGUGAAAAAAUAUUUUAUUCAAAAUAUUGCCCAUCGAAAGCGGCAACUUUUUGCCAUCUUUCAGGCAAUUAAUGGAUUGCAUCCCAAAAAAACGGCUCUUUUUUUGCGCCGAGAAAGUCAUCAAACCAUUUUUUAAUACCUUCAACAUUGGUGAACCGUAUUCCAGAAAGGUGAUUCUGCAUCGACCGAAACAAGUGGUAAUCAGAAUGAGCUAUGUCUGGGCUAUAAGGCGGGUGAGGUAGAAUUUCCCAUCCGGCAUUUUCCAAAUUAUUUUUGACCGGUACUGCAACAUGUGGCCGAGCAUUUUCAUGAUGGAAAAUCAAUUUCUUGUGUCUGCUUGCCCAUUCUGGCCGUUUUUCGGCUAUUACUUGCUUCAAACGUAUCAAUUGUUGCCUGUAUAGCUCUCCCGUGAUCGUCUGGCCCGAUUUUAACAGCUCAUAGUACAGCACACCAAAUACAGAGCAUUACCUUCAAACCAUGAAUAUUCGGCUAUGGUGUUGCUGUUGUUGUUUUAACAGCAUAGGUAGCCCUGUCAGUGUAGGCAUGGUGUCGAUGGGGCUGGUUGGCCUAGCUUCACAUAUGAUCUUCUACGCUUUGGGUUGUAAUUAGUUGUACACCGAUAAAAUUUAUAAUUCUGCUACCCGCGAGAGCCACGAGUCUAUGAAAUAAUAUAUUAAAAAUUCAAAUCAAUCGGUGCAGUACUUUUUGAGAAAUUACCAACGCCAACGGGGAAAAAAUAGUUUCGAGAAAAACACGAUUAACGCGCUUAUACCUGGGCGUCGCACUCCAAAUCGGUAUCGUUUUAAAGGACUGUAAAGUCUAAACUACAACGAAUUUCAAUAUAAAAAUUUGCAAGUAUAUUUUUGAAAGUAUAAACUAUCAUAACAUGAAAAAAAAAUCGAUUUUUUCGAAAUUCUAGACCUGAGAGGUGCCUUAAAGCCAAAUGAACUUAAGCAAUCUUGCAGUUGAAAUUUCAAUAUUCGCACAUUUUUUUGGUAUUUUUGUUAUCCCUAUCGCUUCGUUGCCGAUAUCCCAUAAUUAGGAUUUACAUAGAUGUAAACGCAAUAUAGAUAUUAUUUCAAAUAAAAACAGUGCAAUUUGAAUUUAGCUUCUGUUUUUGCCUGCCAGCCUUCAAGUGCCCAGCCCCAUAUUCUACACGAUUUGACUGUUUCUCUUUUACUUACACACGCCAUUAACCUCCUAUCAGUGGCGCAGUCUUUUGAGGAUUCUGUUGCAUACGGACGCCAUUUUAUCGCAUCCUCUGUGUAUAUUCCACCAAUUUAAAUAAGAUAUGAUUAAAAAUAACCUUGUAAUUUAACAGGAUAAGGUCAAGCGAGUAAAUAACAAAAAGUAUGUAUGUAUAUGUACGUGUGGGGCAGCGUUAAGUAAUAGUCGAAUAUUAGCACAAUUUCUCUUUUUUUUUAUUAGACAAUUUGCAUUUGGAUUUUUGCUUAACAAAAAUACUUGGCAAAAGAACAAAUUGCAGCAGGAAAUACAACACACAAAUAGGUGAAAAUAUUAAAAAAAACGCUAACAAGUUUUUUUUUUUUGAUAACUAUGGGCAUCUAUUUUCAAUAUUUUAAAUAUUAAUGCUGAUAUUAUAUUUAAACUGUUAUUGGUGUUAAAAUUUGUAAAACAGAAUUUUUAAUUUUUAAUUUUUUUUUAAUAUAUUUUUUUUUUGUUUUUAAGCUGUAGUAAAAAUAGCCUAGCAUAUUUUAUUAAUAUUAAUUAGACUUUGUAUUUAGAAAUAAAAUUUUAACUCAUUAUUCUUGUAGUGAUUUGGUUACUUUUUGCGAUUUUUAAUUAACUAAAUUUUGCAUAUUUUAUUUAUAAAAAAGUUUAGAAUAUUUUUCGUUGAUCCUUUGCUUAAAUUUGCCUUUUUGGGGCUUUGGUACUUAUGACUUAAUCAAUUAUGUUUUCACAUACAUACAUACGUACUUUAAAAAAAUACAAAAUACAAAAACAAGCACAAGCGAAAUAGCGAAGAAGCCAAAUGCAAUAAAAAUAGGAAAAGUAAUAAAUAAUAAAUAAUGAAUAUUAAACUCACACCUACCUAAACCUAAACGCCGGAAUAAAAAGCAGCUGUAAUGUAGGGAAAUACAAAGCAAAGCAAAACUGAAUAGUAAAAUUAACAUAGCAAAUAGCAAAGGUAGCAACCGCAAAGAGAAAAUAUAUGUAUGUAUGCGAAUGCAAGCGGAAAAAUCGCAGCAACAAAAACAGCAAAAAAAAAAAAAACAAACAGUAAGCUUAAAAAAUAUGUGUGAUUCAUGCGAA